rnacentral:lncRNA from 1 species
UCAUAUCUGAUACCAAAUUUAGUAGCCAAUUCAACUCUUCCUCUGUACCCUCCUUUCAGAGCCUAAUCCCAAAACCAAAUUAAUCAAAGCCAAUAUAUUAUUAUUUGCCAAUUCCAAAUAUACCCUUUUGAAAUUAAAGGAAGGAAAUAGAAGAUAAAUUAUAUUACCUUGCCCAGAAGGAUUUCAUUUGUGUGAGGUCCGUAAGAAUCGGAAGUGUCAAGUAAAGUGAUGCCACUGUCAAUGGCAUGGUGGAUCAAGGCUAUCAUAUCGGAUUCGGGCUUCGGGGGCCCGUAGAAGGCGGACAUGCCCACGCAUCCUAAGCCUUGCGCUGAAACCUCUAGACCUUGUGAACCCAGCUUGAUUCUCUUCACUGCCCCCGCCAUUUCUCUUCUAUUAGCCUCUCAACUUUCUGUUGAGUGAGGUUGCUGUUUCUAAGCGAACAAUCUAUAUAUGUAGAUAUAUUGCUCUGCGGGCCUCUCAAAACUCGUAAUGCUAACGUAAUGGAAUAUGUUAGCAUUUACCUCAUUAACUUUACAAAUCACACAAGAGAGUAGUUAGAUCAAUAAUCGAUACGUCAUAAUGUUAUUUAUUAAUUAUAGGAAAAAUGAUAAACACAACUCCAACAUUUAGAUAAAGGGACAAAAAAAAGUAAUUUUUUUUUUUUUUUUUGUGAAGCUUAAGGCCCUAUUUGGUAUUGUUUUCCAAAUGUUGUUUUCUUGAAAUAAAAAUAACAAUGAAAAUGUUAUUUUUAAAUUUUAAAAUAUAUUCAGUAUCAUUUUUGAAUACUUAUCUAGUAUUUUCUGAAUUUAGAAAAUAAAAAAUUAGAUUUGAAAACAAUAUUGUACGCACCCUAAUAUUUUAAUUAUCUCUUUUGAACUAUCUGGCUCUAUAGCAAUUUGUAAGGGAAAUAUUGUCUUUUGAUCAGUCUAUUAUCUUAGAACUAGGGUCUAAGGUCAUAUUUGGUAUUGAAGUAUGUACCUUUUGAGUUACAAUUGUUAUGAAAAAAAUACUGUAACUAUAAAGUAAAAGUUAAUAGUAUGUAAUAAAUAUAAUUUUUAAAUAAUAAUUUUUUAAAAAUGAGUAAAGAUAUAAUAAAUUUUUCAUCAUACAAGUAGAAAAUCAAAUCAAUUUAGUUUUCAAGCUAUACCAACUAGUGUUUAUCAAAUACUUUAAUGCUAUUUUUUUUAUCAAAUACUUUAGUGCUAUUCUUUUUACACUACAACCGUUCAACCUCAAUCCUAAAUAGGACAUAAGUAUGGAAAUUACUCGAUGAAUCAUCUUUUAAGUAUUUGAGUGAGAUAUUGUAGUGAUUUUUUUUUCUAAAUACUUGAAAAUUAAUCUAAUCUGCAAUGAGAUUCUUGCAGACUUCUUGUCGUAACUAUAUUGUCAAUAAUGAUAGUCACAUGCUUACAAUUUUUUUUAUGUGUUUUUUAAAGAAUGGGUAAAAUCCAAAUCAAUUUUUUUCUUAUAAUCUUUGUAAGAUUGGAACUCCAAUAGUCAAUCAAAUGAAACUAAUUAAAAAUUGGUUAAAUCCUUAGGUGGUCAAUCAAGUGCUUACAUGUAAUAACUAAAAUUAUAGAGAACUUAUAAUUACUUUUGUAAGCAACCCAAAGUAUAUUAAGACUAACUUGAAAUUCUAUCACGUCUUAGUAAAUACUCAAAAAAUUUACUUCAUACUGUUGAGAAAAUGAGUAAAAAAAAGCCAUGGAAUUCAAAUAGUGUCCUCAAUAUUAUUGUGAAUACCUGUCAGCAUUGAUUAAUUAGUCCAAUGGCUAUUUUUUUUUUUAGAAGAUAAGCAUGUAUUUGAUAUUAUUUAUGUUUUGCUAUUUUUCAUUUUCCAAGAAAAAAAAAAGUGUAAAAUUUGUUUGGUACACUUAUUUUAUGGUAUUUAAUUUCAAGUAAGAAUGUUUAAUCUCAUUCUCUAACUUUAGAGAAGAAAAUUGGACAACAAGGCAUUCAUGAUUUUCAAUUUUCAUUUUUUAAAUGGGUACUACAAGUACCACUUGAACAACAACAAAAUAAAAAUCAUGUCUGUCAUUAUGUGGGCCCAUUACCAAUAUUUAUUUUAUAAUCCAAUUCUAAUUAUCUUUAAUACUUUUUAAUUAUUUUUUAUUCAACAAUACUAAUUGUAUUAUUUGGUAAUUUUUAAAAGGUUCUCUAUUAGUAAAAUUUAUUUAUUAUUUAUUAUUUAUUCUAAUAUUAAUGAUACUCCCUAAAAAAUCAUUUUAUCUAAUUUUUUAUAAUUAAAAAUUUUAAAUAAUAAAAAGUAAUUGAAAUUUCAAAUAAUAAAAAAUUAAUUGAAAUAUAUUAUGAUUAAAAAUAAUUUUAGUUCAUCUAAAUAUUAUAUCAUAGUAUGUAUUUUUUUCUCACUCUCUUUUACCGUCUUCACUUUUUAAACAACUCAAACAUUUUGAAAUUUUCAUUUUAUAAGUAUAUUUUAGAAAGAAGGCUCAUUCUAUUAUGCCUUGAUUAACGUAACGGUAUCAAUACUGUAAUUAAACAUAAUUUAUGUAAAUAAAAUAUAAAACUUGUAAAUCAAUAUUAAUUGUAAAAUACAUAAAUUUUAGAAAUUAAACAUAAAACUUGUAAAUUGAAGGUAAAAUGAGUAAAUUAAUAUAAAACUCGUAAAUUGAUAUAUUAUUAGUAAAUAAAACAAAAACUUGUAAUAUAACAUAAAACUUGUAAAUUAACAUUAAGUGCAAAAUAAAGCACAAAUGUAAAUGGAGGAUAAAACAAGUAAAUUAAUAUAAAACUAGUAAAUUAAUGUAUUACUAGUAAACAAAACAAAAACUUGUAAAUAUAACUUAAAGCUAGUAAAUCAACAUUAACAAUAAAAUAAAGGGUCACCCUAUGUUAUGUUGAGUGUAACAUACACACACUCACAGCAACAGUAACAAGUCUCAUCAUUAACAUUGUUGCUGUGAGUGUGUGUAUGUUACACUCAACAUAACAUAGCAGUGGCCUAAAAUAAAACAAAAAUUUUAGAAAUGAAGUAUAAGACUUGUAAAAGGAAAGUAAAAACAAGUAAAUUACUAUAAAAUUAGUAAAUUUAUGUAUCAUUAGUAAGUAAAACGAAAACAUACAAAUAUAAUAUAAACCAAGUAAAUCAAUAUUAAGUGCAAAAUAAAACAUAAAAUUUGUAAACCAUGCUCAAAACUUAUGAAUAAAAGGUAAAAUAAGUAAAUUAAUCUAAGAGUUACUAACAAAAAAGCUCUUAUAAACUAAAAACUCAUUAUAAUAUUUAUUACCUUAUAUAUUUAAUGAUUUUUUUAAAUUAAAUUGCAUAAUGCUAGUUUUGCAUUUAUGUAGUACAUGUGAUGUUUUAUUAAGGAUGAAAUUUAUUCGCAGAAUUGGAUUUUGAAAAAAAAAACUAUUUUAAUAUCUUUCAUAGUUGUUGUAACAUGAGGUUAUUUUGCAUCCUUCUACACUUCUGCAACAACAACCCUAAAUGGUCUCUUAAGUACAAGUAAAAAGUUUGAAACUACAUGAAGCAUACAUAGAACUCAAAAUUAGAUAUAAUUUUAUUGAUAUAUCAUAUAUGUGUCUAGUAAUAUGAGAAUAAUUAUUUAUUUAUUUAUUCAUUUGCUUGAUCCACGUCUAGAUAAAUAAUUGCACUUAAUUAACUUGUGUAAUAAACAGAUAUCAUUAUAGAAAAUGGGAAAAAUUAUACAAAUGUCAUUAAAUAAAUAUAGAAUUUAUGGUUAAACCAAUUCAAUAAAAUAUAUUUCACUUUUUUUGUACAAUUUUUGUUUAAUUAAUGAGUAAUUUUUUCUUUAUAUUUUUGUAAAUGAAUACAAUAUUUUUCACUAAAAUUGUGCAGAAGCAAUGUUAAUUUUUUAAAUAAUUAAUAAUCUUGUAUGAAGUUACUUGUUUUACUUUAUAUUUACUAAUUUUAUAUGAAACUAGUAAAUAUAAAGUAAAGCAAGGAAAUUCAUACAAGAUUAUUAAUUAUUUAAAAAAUUAUAAAAACAUUAUUUGAAUGGCAAUACCAAUUGCACCCUAGUCCGUACAAUUUUACGUCAUUCAAUGUUGAUAACGUGGCUGGCACAAAGGCCAAAUCAAAGGCUGAGCGGGCAUCACAUGGGCCUUUGCCUGGAUCCUAACCUUCGCAAGCAAAGGCCCACGAUUCUAUCACCCAUUAAUCCUUCUAGAGAAUCUGCUAUAGAUGUAAAUGGACCCUCACUAUCUUUUUCACUGUUUUGAUUUUUCAAAAUUCCUUUUUUUUUAUUAAGUUUAAUGCAUUUUAUUAUCUCCCUGAAACUAUUUGGCUAUGGUAAUUGGCAAGGGGAAAAUUAUCUUUUAAACAUUCUAUUACCUUAAGACUACGGUCAAGUAUUGGAAACAUGGUGAAUCAUUUUUUAGGGAUUUCAGUCAACUUAUAAACAUUAUAGAGAUUGAUUUUUUUUUGCGAAAUAUGCGAAAAUAAAUGCAGCGCUACGAGGUUCUUGUAAACUAUUAAAUUCAAAUCAAUAAAAGUAGCAAUAAUAGCGUAAGUCCAGAAUCUAUCAUAUAUCAAUACCACUCUCAUACAGUUGUUGUUAAAUCAGGCCUAAAAAAUAUUUUUUUUUCUUUAAUUUAAUAAAAUUAUCAAAAGUCAGAUUUUUUUUUCUUGAUUACAUAAAAAUGCAUAAAAGUAGAGAAACACCUUAAAUUUCCUACUGAAGAUUUGAAGACAACUACUUUAAUUUUUUCCACUACCAUUAUUGGGAUCUGUAGGAUAUGGUUGUAGUUUUCUCGUCUAUCAUCAAUAGUCUCCCUCGCACAUGAGGGCAUAUAGAGAACUAUAAUUCCCAUUUCCUCUUCUUUAUAUAGGCACUUAUUAAAGUCAAGAUAUAACUAGAAACUAAGCUAACAAAGGGUAUCCAUGAACUUCCUAAAUCCAACUUCAUAGUUAAGUCUCAGUCAUAUUAUGACUCCCUAAAACAACUAAGUUAACCUUAAGCUAUUCUACUAAAAGUCUGAUGUCGCACUCUAAUGAACCAUGUAACAAAUAAAAGCCUAAUUAAUUAAGACUUCUUUUAAUUAAUAUUAGACAUGAUUUUAAACCAAUAAUUACCACUUAAUUGACUCUUUAUUUGAUCAUCUUAAUUAAAUCCAGCCCAUGAUAAAUUUUCUUUCUUUGUAAUUACAUAUAUAUCCCUUAGUCACAAUUUAUUCUAACUAUCACUGUUAAUAUAUUUGUAAAUAGAUUACAAAUAAAUGUGAUUAAUUAAUAAAUAAAUUAUUGAAUAAAUUAUAACCACAGAUUUAAAUGAUCAAUAUAGGGAUGGCAAAAUGCAAGCUUAGACUAGGCUUUUUCAAGCCCGUUAGAGGGAAAGUAUAAGGGCUAAGCUUGGGCCGGGGUUGGGUUGGGUUGGGUUGGGUUGGGCUUUCACUUAUUUUUUUCAUUUUUUAAAAAAAUUGUUAAAAACUUGAAAUGAAUUAAUAGUCAAUGAGUUGUUAUAAUCGGCAACGAAAUAAAGAAAAUGAAUGUUUCAAAAUAAAAUAAUAAAUAAAGAAAACACAACAAAAAAAAGUGUAGAGAUUUAAAUUUUUUAAUACUAGAUUUUUUAAUUCAAGUAUCUUCUUAAUUAAUUAACAUUUAAAAGAGAGUUUAUUAUUAUAAUUUUAGAUUUUUUGAUUCAUUAUUGAUAUAUAAAUUAGGGACUUAAGCUUUCUUUCUUUUUUCCAUUAUUUCAUAAAAGUUUAAUUUAUUAUUCAAAUUUCUAAUUUAUUUUUUGAAAAAAAAAUAGAGGGCGUGUGCCUAGAUUUUUUUUUACUUAAGCCCUUAUCCAGACCGUUCAUAUGGAGGCAUGAGCCAAAUCUCAUAGCAAUGGGCCGGGCUCAUCCCUAUGAUCAAAUACUACAAAUAGCUUAGGUAAGCAUCAUUUGUAUAGAUUCCAUCUUGUAAGUAUAUAUAUUUCUAUAAUCCAUGAAAUUAUAUCUCCAAAUUAUUAACGUUUUGACCGUUUAUACAAAUCUUACUUUGUGACGACUCAAAAGACAUAAUACCUGAAUGUGCGCUAGACUCCUUUACCCUUUAUUAGCGUUAUAUUACCCACUCAGAAUUAAGAUCGAUCAAGCUUAUUAAAGCUUGUAUAGAUUAUGAUUAGCAACAUAUGUUAGAUUAGAUCAUAAUUCAUUACAAUCUUGUUCAUUACAUAUAUAUCUCAUAUACAUACUAAUUUUUCUACUUGAAGUCUCUACUUCAGUAAUUAAGAUAAAGUUACUUAACAAUAAAAAUACAAAAUAUACAGCCUUAUAAAAAUAAAAUGACAUUUCAUUAAUGGAUGUGAAUAAUCUUUUAUUUUUAAAGAAUUUGUGAUUUUUAUCUUCUAUCUUGACAUCAUAUGUCCAAUAUAUAAAUCAAAUACUUUAUAAAUAAGGGCUAAUAAUGUAUGCUCAAAUAAAUAAUAAAUAAAUAAAUUUUAAUAAAUUCAGAAAUUUUUAUUUUAUUGCAUGCUGUAAGAGUACAAAAUAAUAAUGUACAAAAUAAUAAUAAGUGUACUAGUAAUUAUAUUGUCAAUAAUGAUACUCAAAUACUUAUAACUUUUUUUUUGUGUUUUUUUAAAAGUAAAGGGUGGUAAUACCAAAUCAGUUUUUUCGCAUCUAACCUUUGAGGAUUCGAACUCUAAUUACCAAACAAAUAAAACUACAUGGAAAUCAGCUAAGCCUAGGGCGGCCAAUCAAAUGCUUACAUGUACUAAGCAAAACAAAAGAGAACUUAUAAUUACUUUUGUAAACAACAAAAAGUAUAUUGAGACUGUUUAAAAAUCUAUUACGCCCUAGUAAAUACUCUAGAGUCUACUCCAUAUUAUUGAGGAAAAUGAUUGAAAAGAAAAAAAAUGGAAUUCAAAUUAUUAUCCUCGGUAUUAUUGAGAACAACUGUUACCAUUGAUCUACCAGCCCAAUAGCUAUUAUUAUUAGUUUUAUAUUAUAAUUCUCUACUGAAAAAUACAAUAUUAUCUCAUUUAGUGUUGAUGUAUGUGGCACAAAAACCAAAUCAAAGGCUACGCCACCUUCACCGGGGCCCUUGCCCAGGUCCCACCCACCACAACAAAAGGCCCGCAAAAAAUUGUUUAUAUUAUAUAUUUAUUGGGUAGUGAAUGGUGAUAUUUUUUAUUUCUUAAAAUACUAAUUAGAGACCAGGUUUGCCCAUACUCGCAUGUGUAAGAGAGAAUCCAUUAUUGAGAAGAAAUUAUCAGUUGGAUUUAGGAGGAGUUAUUUAUGAACAAUAAACUUUUGGCCAAAUAAUCCAAAUAUCAAACAAAUUUGAGGGAAUGCAAAGUGUAGACGAGUAAAAAUUCAAUAAAUGACUAAAGAUUCAAGAAAACAUGAGUAUUAUAAAACUGAUUAAAUUCAUAUUGAGUUUGAAGAUGGAAUAAAACACCAGUAUAAUUGUUUUCAAAUAAUCAUAUGUCUAUAAUUGUAAUUUAUGUUAUUGAUAUUUUAGUAACAAUUAAGUUUAUUAAAAUGUGAGUUUAAUGAGUAACCUAGAGGGUUAAUUAGCCUCAACCUUUAAAAGGUGUCAAAAGGCUACUCUUUGUAUAAUAUAAUAUACUCCACUUAAACUAACCCACUUAAUACUAAAAAUUAACCUUGUAAUGUUUUCUGAAUUAUUUUAGUGUUCAAUAUCAACAAUCAUGAUGUUUUUGAAUGAAACAUACAAAAUGUUUAUAAUGUAAAAAAGAAAUUAGGGUUAUAUGAUGUAAGAAAUUGUUGAACUAAUACAUGUAUAGAUGUAAAUAGGGUAGCAAAAUGAAUUCAUGAAUUAGGUUAAAAGUCGGUAAAUUCAAUAUAAUGAAUUGGGUUAGAAGUUUGAAACUCCAAAGUUUCUAACUUCGAUGUUUAAAUUACAAAUUCAUUAACAAUAGAAUAAACUAACCAUCCUAACUCUAAAAUUUCAACCGAACCAGUGAGCUUAAAUCCACAUUCAUAUUUUGAAUUAGGGUCCAGCUACAAUAAAAAUAUUGUUUCAUACACUAUUUUUUGUCUUUUUGUGAUCCAACCAUUGGAUUCAACUCAAGAGUUGCAAAAGCUAUUCCAACGGCAUGGAUGGACUUGCUUGGUUAUUAACGAUGCAGUCCCUUCUGUUUACUAAAAAAAAUAAGGAAAGAUUAAAUUUCAAAAUUUGACACAUUAGUCCAGUAAAAUAUUUUAUUGUAAAUGAACACAUUUAUAUAUUAAAAAUAUGGAUGGAUUAUUUUAAUUUGCUAAAACACUCUCCACUUCCAUUUACUUAAAAUACCAAUUGGAUUAUAAUAAUAUUAUCUUGUUUUUUGUGUAAUACAAUAUUGGAUAAGGUUUUAUAAAAUUUUUGACAAUAUCAAAAUGAAAAAUAAAUAAAUAUUAAAUAAAUACUUGGAUAGUCAUUUAAAUUUCAUUAUGGAGUUUAUAAAUAAUAUUUUCAAAAUAAUAAAUUUCUAUAUGUAAAUUUGAAAUUAUGUAAAAUUAUUUAUUCCUUAUUACACGUAUGAAGCUGAUUAAUUAUUUAUUUAAUGUGAAAACAAAUGCAUUGUAUAAUAUUUAUUCUAUUACUUAAAUUUAAAAUUAUAAAGAAUGAAACUUAAAUUUAAAAUUGUAAAGAAUGAAUAAUAACUUAAAUUAAUAGAUUAUGGGAGGAUACCUUUCAAAAAAAUUAAAAUUAACAAACUUUUUAGGCUUCUAACGUAACAUUUUUAAUUUUUGUUGUUAACAUAAGACAAAAAUUAAGUCUAAAAACCUCAUUCUAGGGUCUCCUUAGGGUAAAAAAAAAAAUCAUUAUCACAUGAUAAUUUGGUAGCCUAAGUUGUAUUAUUUUUAGUUUACUUAUUCAUGCCAAACACCUUAUUGAGAUUAAAUUUUAGUAAAGUAAACCCAUCCCACCAUCUUUAAUCACAUUCAAUAGGCCCUAAUUGAUUAGAUCUUGUUAUAUAAAGUAAUAUAUAACUCUUUCUUUAUUACAAUGGUAAAGAAAAAAAAACAUAAACACAAUAUAUUUCUUUUGAGAAAAUGCAAGUAUUAUGUUUUUUAGGUUUUGUGUUUAAGAAAUUAAUCUAAUUUAUGUAGUUAGAAGACUCUUAUUUUUUAUGUUUUAGAAGAAUUAUAUGUUUGAUAAUGAAUAAAUUAAGAUUUAAAGUAGGAAAACUAAUUUGAGAAGGAGAUAGAGAGAAUAAAUUUUUUAGAAUUUGAAAAUUAUUAUAUUUUAAUUGGGGCUUAUUACAUAAAAUUAUUAAAACAUAUGGUUUUUAUUAUUUAUAGAAAACAAUAGGGAUUGCUAAAGAAAACACUAAAUAAUUAUUUUAAUUUGAAAUUAUUAUAUUUUAAUUGGGGCUUAUUGCAUAAAAUUUUUAAAAUUUAUAGUUUUUAUUAUUUACAGAAAACUAUAGGGACUGUUAAAGAAAAUACCAAAUUUGAGGGUUUGGUACAACGGUUGCAAAGUAGUUUUGUCCUGAACUAGUGAGACUUUUUUUUUGGCAUAAUUAUAUUUAUUGUAUCAUUCAAUAAAUGGAUCUUAAAAAAAUAAACAAAUCAGUGGGACAUUCAAUUUGUUCACUUAACAAAUUCAAUCAAAAUUGUCCAUUUAUUAGACGAAUUAAUUUUUCAAACCUAAAUGCUUUUAAUUCAAAUAGAAUCAAUAAAUCCUUAUCUAUAUUAUUACCCCUAGAUGUAAACCCUUUUUAUGAGAAAAAAAAGGGUGUUUAUAUGAUAGAAGAAACUAUUGAAUUGUAUUUUUAAAUAUGUUAUAUAUUAUUGAUUUAUCUGUCAUUUUACUCUAGAGUGAAAUUGUAGCAAUAAAAAAUUGAGUAAAAUCUUUAAAUUUAUAUUUUUCAUGACUCACCGUAGAUUCUGGUAUUUCAUAGAUUAAUUCUUUAUUGGCUUAAAAAAAAUCCUACCCAAACUUAAAAAAUUAAGCUAAUAUAGACAUAACAUAAAAAUAAAUAAAUAUGAUAUAUAAUACAGAAUUUUGUAAAUUAUUUUUAAUGUUAAAUACAAGUAUUUUAAUAUUAUUGAUCUGCAAAAUAGAUUUUAUUAAAUUAAAACAUAUAUGAUAGAUUAAUAAUAUUAAAUUAAUUUUUUUAUUCAAAAUAAUUUAUAAAAUAUAUAACAAUUAUAUAUUAUAUUAUUUUAAUAUUAUAUUUUGUAUCUAUCUAUCAUAGAAGUUUAUUUAAAAUCAAUUUUUGGAUUGUUAAAAUCGAUGUGUAUAAUCAUCAAAAAACAUUUGUGUGAUUAUUUAUUAAACCAAGGAGGUCUAUAGCAACAUUUAUGUUCCCAAGGGGGUAUAUAUGCUUUUUUUCCCUGAUUUUUAGAUGAAUUAAUUCUUAAAUGUAUCUAUUUAUCAUUUACUGCAAAGAAGGUGAUCAAAUUAACCAUAAAAAAUACGCAAUGAAAUGUGUGAAAUGCCUGAAAGGCAAUAGGAACUGUGAAAAAUAUUUUUACGGAUUGGACUAGGCAAUGCGGGCCAAUAAUAUCUAGUCCAAAGAUGAGGCUGGGCCAAGUUUAAGUUUCACUUGAUAAAUUUAGAUUCGUCCAAAAACCUGAAUUUUAUGAAAAAAUAUUAUAAAAUACAUUAUUUUAAAUAACUAUAUUUAUUUGACCCAUAGAUUAUACAUAUUUAAAAUUUUAAAUAUUUAAAGUUCAUAUUUGAAAACCCAAAUUCAUUAAAUAAAAUUUAAAAAUCAUAAAACUAAAAUAGGUCCCUACAGCGCAACCCGCUUAGGUCGAAAGCCAUCCCAGCCUGGGCCAUUUGGGUCUUUGCAUUAACCUCAAAAGGAUAAAAAGUGCAUGAGGUAUAGGUGGGGGUGUUCGCGGAUCGGAUUUUACGAAUUGGACAUCAAUCCAUAUCCGAUCCAUGAUUUUGCGGAUUAUAAUUUUUUAAUCCAAUCCAAUCCAUAAAUUGAUAAAAUUCAAUCAAAAUCCAAUCCAUACAUCUGCGGAUCGGAUGCGGAUUUGACUCAAUCCAUAUCCAAUCCAUACGUCUGCGGAUCGGAUGCGGAUUUGACUCAAUCCAUAUCCAAUCCAUUUUGCGCAUUAGUUUUCGAAUUAAAAUUUUUUAGUUCUCUCCAACUAAUGAAAUAAAAAAAAAUCUAAUAUAAAAAUAAUUUUGCUACCAAUUAAAUUUAAAAUUGAAUAAAAUUUAAAUAAAUUAAUUAUUUAAAUAGAGUUAAAAUAAUACAUUUAAAGUUUCAAAAUAUAACAAUCGAGACUAAUUAUUUAAAUAAAGCUACAAUAAUACGUUCAAAGUUUCAAAAUAUAACACACCAAGCUUAAUUGUUCAAAUAAAGUUACAAUAAUACGUUAAUAUAACACCGAAAUUAAUUGUUCAAAUAAAGCCACAAUUAAUUGAAAUGGCGAAGUUUUGGAAACCAAACACGGUCUGAUCCUUCACUAGGGUUGUUGCGCCUGUUGAAAAGUGGUGAUUACUGAGCCGUCCACGAUGGGAACCAGGAGAAGCCGUACGGGUGGCGAUCUUGAAGGUUGUGAUAGUGAAAUUGUUCAGCUGGAACCAGUGAAUGUGAAGUGGCUCGAUGGACUUGGGAAAGAAGAUGGCUUGCUCUCACUGGGAUCGCACGGCCGAUGUCCUUCAAAUCCGUGUCGAGAGUGUAUCCAACCAGUAUUGAGUGUUGUUAGUGUGCGUGACGACGGAGAAGCUUAGGGUUUUUUGUUUGCAAAUUGUUGGUGACUUGACAACAUGUUAUUUUACUUUUGGGUGACUUUGCAAAUUGUUGGUGACUUGACGUUAUGUUACUUUACUUUUGUUAGUGCGUGUGACUUUGCUUUUAUUUUGUUUUACAAUUUUUACACGUUAUAUUUGUAUAUUUGAUUAUUUAAUUAUUUUUUAUUUUUUAUUAUUAUUGGGUAAUGGCUAAGAUAUGUUAUAGUGCUUAUGUAACUAUGUAAUGUCACAUUUAUAAUUUUUUUAAUUAAAUUUAUAAUAAUUUUUUAAUUAUCUAUAUAUAUAUAUAUAUAUAUAUAUUAUUUUAUUUUUUUUGUGCGGAUUCACGGAUUUUUACAGAUUUACAGAAGUAAAUUCAUAUCCAAUCCAUCAAUCCACGGAUCGGAUUUAUACGAAUCGGAUUGAGUGGAUCAGACGGAUUGAGUGGAUCGGAUUGGAUUCUGAACACCUCCAGGUAUAGGUUUUAACCGAAAGAACUUCUUGCGCAAUUCAUGCGUUUCUGCUUUUAUGACCAGAAAUUGUUUCUUGAUUUGAUUUCCAUUUCAAAUUGUUCUCUGGACUUUUUAUCAAUAUGAGGUGAUUGCAAAUAAACAUAUAUAAUAUUAUAAAAUAUAAAUCUGGAUUUUUUAAGCCCAUAAAAGAAAGUCCAUUUGGGGCCGAGAUUUUAGGCUCAACCUCAGUGUUCAAAAAAACAUGCUUGGGCCAAAUUUGAGUAUUGCCAUAUCCGGGACCGACUUGAGUUUUUACCAUGACUAAGCAUAAUCAAUUGGUUCAAAUAAUUUAAUUUCCGGUAAAAUGAUGUGAAAAAUUGUGAAUCAAUUUGGUAAUCUCGUAGAGGCCACUUUGUAACACAGUAAAAGUAUUCAAUUGAUCUGAAAUCAUUGAAUAAUUUUUUGUUGAGGAAGGAUGUCACGUACAACAACAAGAAACAUAUAAUGCUACAAUAAAUUUAGAUCAGCAAUAAUGUUUAGGAUCCUAACAUUUGAGUCUCAACUUGACUCUCAAUGAUAUGUGUCACUCAUCAAUUGAAUAAUGGAUAUAAUAUCUAGUAAAAUUAUUUAACCACCAUUCAAUAGAUGAAUUCCACGUCAGUAGGAACUCAAAUUAAGACUUAUGUUGGGACAUCUAGCAUUGCUCUUCACAUCAGUGGUGAGGCUCCAAGUGGGUUGGGAAAUUUUUAGAAAAUUUACAAAAAUAUCAUAAUGCAAAGUUUAUAAAAUUGCCACUAUUUUAUUUACAGUAGUACCACUCUAUUAAUUUACAAUUUUGUCAUUCAAAUAAAUAUACAGAAAAAAGGGAGCAUUUACUUCAUUCAAGAUUCCAGAACGUGCUUUCUUUCUUGGCUUCUUCAGUUCUUCGUCUUCUUCUUGACAAGAAUAGAUAAUACAUUUAUUGUUUAUUCAAUCAUUUACAGUACACUUAUUAAUUGUUAGGUAGUAAAGACUAAAGAUUAUAUUAUUUAAUUCUUGUUCCAAUUUCAUUGUGUAAAAUUAAAUUAUUGUUGGGUCAAAUGAAGAUAAUUUAGCCAUUAAAUUCUAGCAUUCAAAAAUUUAAAUUAAUUAUUGAUAGAGAUGGAUCAUAGAUUCAAUUCAGUACAUUAUACAUAAAGUUAAUUUGUUAAUUGAAUUUAUUGUUUGGCUUCUGGAUAGUGUUAAUGUGUCGUAGUGACAGAUUGACGGUUCUAUGACUUUUAUUAGUAAAUUUGUGAUUAUUUCUUCUAACUUCUUUUAUAUUUAUACCAUGUUUUGACUGAAACACCCAAACGAGCAUAGACACGACUUCAAAAUAAGGAAGAGAAUGAAUUUUUAUCAAAUUGUAUAGUUAUCUACGUUAAAAGAGAAUUUGUAAACACCGUUAAUUUAAAUUCGAUAAUAGAUGGAUUUAAUUCUCGAAAGUAUGGUAAAUUACUUCUUAGACAUGAUAUAUUUUCUUAUGUAUAACAAAAUUUUCUUUCAAAUUUAUAUUUUUAACCAAGAUAAUAUUUGGAUUUGGAAAAAAUUUAGCCUACCCAAGAUAUUUUUUCUGGCUUCGCCCCUGAUUCAGAUCAUCUAAACUUCCAGAAAUUUCAGAUAAAUAUUACUCCAUUUUGAUUUGUUAUUGUUUCUCAUAUAUUUGCAUAAACACAUUACAUUGUUUUUGCGCUCACUGCAGAAGAUACAAUGAUUUAGUUUUACUUACAACACUGCAUAGGAACUCAAUACAAUAUUCACUAAAUGCUUGUGGAAAGUGCAGAAAGGUACUGAUAGGGUCUCGUAUGAGAACACAAUGAUUUUACCCACAACAGAACCUAGGAACUACAUGCAAUUGCAAAAUCGGUACUAAGAAGCAGAAUACCAAUGCCCUUUAUGAAGGUUUCCACGAAGACAGAGGUGGAGUUUCAGAGUCUUCGUAGGUAGGAGUGACACCCCCAUACCGAUGACCCCUUACAGCAUCUGCUGAAGCAAUAGAUUCAAGCUCAGCCAUUUCUUCUGGAGAAAGUUUCACUGACAGAGCUUUAAUAUUUUGAUUGAGGUUUUCAAUCUUGGUGGUUCCAGGAAUCGGACACACGUCAUUUCCUUGGUGAUGAACCCAUGCUAAUGCAAGCUGAGAUGGGGUGCAUCCUUUCUUUACUGCUAUUUCAUUAACACGUUCAAAUAGCUUUUUGUUAUGCUCUAAAUUUUCAGGUUGGAACCUCGGUAGAUGCUGCAAGAUUUAGAAAACAGCUCAGUACCAAAACUGAACUGCAAUUGAAUCAUUAAAAAAAAGAACAUCAUUUUGGAUAAGAGUAAUGAUACAGCCACAAACUCUUGUACAAACUUAUUUUGUACAAACUGAUGUGGCAUGAUAAGAUUGGUUGAAUUAAAUAUCACUUGGCCCACAUGAUUUAUUUUUAUUAAUUUAUAUUUUCAUUCAACCAAUCUUAUCAUGCCACGUCAGUUUGUACAAAAUAAAUUUGUACAAGAGUUUGUGGCUGUAUCAUUACUCUUUGGAUAAAGCAUGAUUUUAGAGGAGGUUUAUGUAAAAUUCAAUAGACCAGAAAACAAAGAAAAAGGACUAGUCGGGGACUUCUCCUAGGUGGAGGAUGUUUAUAGUAAAACAUUUUGGCAUGUUAGACAAAGGUCUCACAAGAAAUAAACUCUCCUUGGACUUGUCAAUUGAUUUCACAUUGACGUGCAUAGGCAAAGCAAUAUAACAAAAAUGGAAACUGCCACAAGGAUGUAGAAGUUUGGAAGAGUCAUUACAGCUAAACUUCUUGAGCAUCCAGUAAUAGUUUUGAGGUAAUGGAACAAUUUUUUUCCCUCAUUUUUUUUUUCACCUCUAUACAACUUAAGGGGUAUUAUCAUGUAUAUAAAUUGAAUCAGUCAUGUUAAAAUUUUCUGUCCAUCAAUGAAGUAAUUGCAUAGAUAAUUCCUCAUAUUUUCAAUGCAAAGAAAGCUUUUGCUCAUAUUUGAGGAGGUUAAUGAACAUAAUCUGAGGGAAACAAUUGAAAUCUAUGAAGAAUUUCAGAGCUAUAGAGUAAAACUAAACAAGAAUUAUUAUUGUAUUGCUAAAUGAGAAUGAAUGUGUAAUAAAGAAGACAAGUAAUGUAAAUAUGAUGAAAGUAAAAAUACACGAUUAGUAAACACCAAACAUUUAGCUAAUGAUGAAUAAGUUUUGGUAGACAAGUCACUUCAAAAAGGAUUACAGUGUAUUCAGUCCUUAGUAAUUGAAUUUUCAUUUUUCCUCAAUCCUCUCGAUGCAAUCCAUACACAGGCAACUUCAGUGUAAUUAGACGAUCGAAAUGAACUAGUAGAAUAUCUAAGAAAGAGAAUUCUUAAACAAGUCCUACUGGGUUAGGUUAGAAUAACUAUAACUAUGGCUCUAGAUAAAUAUCAGAGGUUUAUAAGAUAAAAUAGUAUGCAAGUCACUGUAGAGUAUCUUGAGAGAAGGUUUUAAACAUGCUUGCAGACAUCGAAUAAUAAAUGCAUGGUAGGCUUACGGACAUGUCUAGAAUCAUCCGGUGCAAUGCUUUCAACCAACUUUGGCCCGGAUGAAAGAAACCCACGUCCUAGAGGACUGUAAGCAACAAUUCCAAUGCCAAGUUCCCUGAGCAGAGCAACCACCAAAAUUGCGUUAGCAUGCAAAUGUUAAAUCAUCUACUCAUAAUUUCUUUUCCUUUCAACUAGGUCAAAACAAUUCAUUUGGCCCAAAUAAUGUCUUACCUGCAAGUAGGAACAAUCUCUUCCUCCACAUCUCGUGACCACAAGGACCAUUCCAACUGCACAGCUGUUAUUGGAUGGACGGCGUGAGCUCGUCUAAUUGUUGAAGCAGAAGCCUCGGAUAGACCUAUAUACUUUAUUUUACCCUCUUCAACUAGUUUCUUGAGUUCCCCAAUCUUACAAAACAACACAAGUAAAAGAAUUAGUACAUGAUAACAGAAACCUCACCCACCGAAGUGACCCAUGUCUGUAUUUUUAAAUAUUCUGUGUUUCAUGUUCAUUGGCAGCCGAGCUACCCAGAGACUAACAGACUAAUAUAGUUUAACAUGCAUGAUUGAGACAAAUAUAUAAAUUAAAAGCGACAAACCGUGACUUCAAUGGGGACUUUAGUGUCAAUGCGAUGUUGGUAAUAAAGAUCAAUACAGUCAACAUCCAGACGCUUCAAGCUGGCCUCACAUGCAGCUCUUACAUAAGCAGGAUCCCCACAGAAUGAGUACUGGCCAUCCUCAUAUCUGAUACCAAAUUUAGUAGCCAAUUCAACUCUUCCUCUGUACCCUCCUUUCAGAGCCUAAUCCCAAAACCAAAUUAAUCAAAGUGAAUAUAUUAUUAUUUGCCAAUUCCAAACAUACCCUUUUGAAAUUAAAGGAAGGAAAUAGAAGAUAAAUUACAUUACCUUGCCCAGAAGGAUUUCAUUUGUGUGAGGUCCGUAAGCAUCGGAAGUGUCAAGUAAAGUGAUGCCACUGUCAAUGGCAUGGUGGAUCAAGGCUAUCAUAUCGGAUUCGGGCUUCGGGGGCCCGUAGAAGGCGGACAUGCCCAUGCAUCCUAAGCCUUGCGCUGAAACCUCUAGACCUUGUGAACCCAGCUUGAUUCUCUUCACUGCCCCCGCCAUUUCUCUUCUAUUAGCCUCUCAACUUUCUGUUGAGUGAGGUUGCUGUUUCUAAGCGAACAAUCUAUAUAUGUAGAUAUAUUGCUCUGCGGGCCUCUCAAAACUCGUAAUGCUAACGUAAUGGAAUAUGUUAGCAUUUACCUCAUUAACUUUACAAAAUCACACAAGAGAGUAGUUAGAUAAAUAAUCGAUACGUCAUAAUGUUAUUUAUUAAUUAUAGAAAAAAUGACAAACACAACUCUAACAUUUAGAUAAAGGGAUAAAAAUGUCUCUAACGUUUUGAAAAAGAAAUUUACACCUCUAUUCACUAAUGAAAACAAUUACUUUUAACGAAAAUAGUAAUUUUAAUAUAUAAUUACCGUUAUACUAUUUUAGCACAUAAAAAUAUAAUUAUUAAUUAUCUGAUUUGUCCAUAUAUUGUUAAUAAAAUUACAAAAAUACUCUCAUUGACCAAUUCCUCUAUUUAAUUUUUUAUCAAAUUAUCUCUUCAAGCCAAAUAAAUUUAAUCCAUUAUCAAUUUUUAUGUCUAUUGGAUAUGUUAUUUAAUACAAUUAAGAUAAGAUUUUUGUAAUUAUUGUUGUAACCAGCCCUUUUUAUUUUAUUUUGUUGAUUAUACAAGUUAAAAUGAUUGACAUGUAGAGAAUUGUUAUUCUUAUGGCAUUAAUAACUAAUUUUAUUUAUUUUUAUUCUUGAGUAAUGGAUUAAAUUUAUUUGGCUUGAUGAGAGAAUUUGAUAAAAAUUUAAACAAUUAUUUGAGCAAUGAGGGUAUAUUUAUAAUUUUAUUAACAAUAUAUGGACAAAUUGGACAAUUAACAAUUAUUUUUUUAUGUGUUAGAACGGUAUAACGGUAAUUAUCUAUUAAAAUUACUAUUUUCGUUAAAAAUAAUUGUUUCUAUUAGUGAAUGGGGACGUAAAUAUCUUUUUUAAAAUGUUAGAAAAUUUUUAUCCCUAUGUCUAAAUAUUGAGGGUGUGUUAGUCAUUUUCCCUUAAUUAUAUUACUGGCAUAAUGCUUCACAAAUAUUUUAAAAUCUUUCCAAUCGAACAAUUAAAAGUUGGCCCAAACUGGCGGCUAAGGGCUGUCAAAUUAACAAGAUGUGGGAGUAUGAUUUUAUCAUAUCAUGAUAAUGGAAGCACUUGAGAAGCCAGGUCUUUCAUGGGACCAAAAGAAAUAUUGGCUUCUACUCAAGUUGGUUGCUUCCUUGGCUUGAGACCUGUAAAGCUGGAACUUGUUCAACAAAGACUUGGCAAAAUCCAUUGCCUUUAAUCUGUUUUUAACAUAAAGUAUAAUAACAUGGCCAGUGGCAAAUUGGGAAUGUCAACUAGUAUCCACUAUUUAUUUGAUUAUUUCUAUGAUUUUAAGAUCUGCCCUUGGAAUCUGGACUUUGUGGUGCUGGAUGUAUUUGAUUAUAUAAAUGUACUAAUAUCGCUCUCAUGAGAUGAUUACUGAAUUUGAGUGGACCAAAAAAGUUAAAAGAUUAAUAAAUUAAUUAAAUUGGAGAUUUGGAGUCAUAAUCAAGUGUUUGCAUGGUGGUCGUGGAAAUAUUUUGGAUCCCACCGUGGAUUUACAAUAUAAAUGUUGAAGGCGCUGUUGAUCCCACUGUCCCACAUGGCAUGACUUUGCAACAUCUCAUCUGCUUUAUAUUAGAAAUCCUAGAAAUUAACCAGAUGUGGGAGUAAUAAUAAUUCUCCACUAAAAAAGCCAAAUCCAGGGCUGCGCCGGCUUCGCCUGCACCACGAGCAAAGGCCCACUUAUUUGCGUCACCCAUUACAGCAUCUGAUAUGGAUUAAACCCAAACACUUAAAGUAGGAUUUAGUUCAAAAAGUUUUAAUUUAAGUUGGAGUAUUUAUUUUUCUUUUUUUUCAAUGUUUAUAAUGAGGUUCAACAUUUAAAAUAAACAACAUAUUACUAUUAUUUUUAAAAUUUAAGAGGAAAAAUAGAAUUUGAGUUUUUGAGAAUGAAAUAUAUAGAGAAAUAAAAUUAUAUGGCUAUUGAAAUUUGAACCAAGUCUCUAAAAUCACUAAAAAGCACAAUUAUCACUAAAUUAUAAGUAUUUUGUUAUAUAAAAAAUAUGCCCAAAUUCUUUUUAUUUAAUUUUUUUAGAAAGAGCUCAGGGUACAUUUUAAAGGAAAAGUAAUGGUCUAGGAAAGGCUUCAUAAUUGCCCAGGAGGAGCCGCCCAUGACUGUCACUAUCUUUCAAAAAAUUUUGACAAAAAAAAGUAAUUUUUAUUUUUUUUUUGUGAAGCUUAAGGCCCUAUUUGGUAUUGUUUUCCAAAUGUUGUUUUCUUGAAAUAAAAAUAAGAAUGAAAAUGUUAUUUUUAAAUUUUAAAAUAUAUUUAGUAUCAUUUUUGAAUACUUAUCUAGUAUUUUCUGAAUUUAGAAAAUAAAAAAUUAGAUUUGAAAACAAUAUUGUACGCACCCUAAUAUUUAAAUUAUCUCUUUUGAACUAUCUGGCUCUAUAGCAAUUUGUAAGAGAAAUAUUGUCUUUUGAUCAUUCUAUUAUCUUAGAACUAGGGUCUAAGGUCAUGUUUGGUAUUGAAGUACUGCACCUUUUGAGUUACAAUUGUUAUGAAAAAAAUAUUGUAACUAUAAAGUAAAAGUUAAUAGUAUGUAAUAAAUAUAAUUUUUAAAUAAUAAUUUUUUAAAAAUUAGUAAAGAUAUAAUAAAUUUUUCAUCAUACAAAUAUAAAAUCAAAUCAACUUAGUUUUCAAGCUAUACCGGCCAGUGUUUACCAAAUACUUUAAUGCUAUUCUUUUUACCAAAUACUUUAGUGCUAUUCUUUUUACACUAUAGUCGUUCAACCUCAAUCCCAAAUAGGACAUAAGUAUGAAAAUCACUCGAUGAAUAAUCUUUUAAGUAUUUGAGUGAGAUAUUAUAGUGAUUUUUUUUUUCUAAAUACUUGAAAAUUAAUCUAAUCUGUAAUGAAAUUCUUGCAGACUUCUUGUCGUAACUAUAUUGUCAAUAAUGAUAGUCACAUGCUUACAAAUUUUUUAUGUGUUUUUUAAAGGAUGGGUAAAAUCCAAAUCAAUUUUUUUCUUAUAAUCUUUGUAGGAUUCGAACUCCAAUAGUCAGUCAAAUGAAACUAAUUAAAAACUGGUUAAAUCAAGUGCUUACAUGUAAUAACUAAAAUUAUAGAGAACUUAUAAAUACUUUUGCCCAGAAGGAUUUCAUUUGUGUGAGGUCCGUAAGAAUCGGAAGUGUCAAGUAAAGUGAUGCCACUGUCAAUGGCAUGGUGGAUCAAGGCUAUCAUAUCGGAUUCGGGCUUCGGGGGCCCGUAGAAGGCGGACAUGCCCAUGCAUCCUAAGCCUUGCGCUGAAACCUCUAGACCUUGUGAACCCAGCUUGAUUCUCUUCACUGCCCCCGCCAUUUCUCUUCUAUUAGCCUCUCAACUUUCUGUUGAGUGAGGUUGCUGUUUCUAAGCGAACAAUCUAUAUAUGUAGAUAUAUUGCUCUGCGGGCCUCUCAAAACUCGUAAUGCUAACGUAAUGGAAUAUGUUAGCAUUUACCUCAUUAACUUUACAAAAUCACACAAGAGAGUAGUUAG